AUGCAAGAUAACAUCUUAUCCAUCACUUGUCAGUAAGAGAGUUUUAAGCAAUUGAGCUAAUGGCUUCCAAGGCUUUGGUUCUGUUGAGUCUCUUUGCAAUUCUUCUCGUCGUAUCCGAAGUGGCCGCGGCAGCCGAAACACAGUCCGCCUGAUCAAUAUCGAAGAGGAGGUUACUGCUAUCACGGCUGUUGCUUCAGAGGUUAUAAUGGCUUCUGCACAAGAUGUUGCUCGUACGCUGGAGAAGCUGUUCAGACUCAGCCUGAUCAGUGAAACAAUAUACUCUCUUCACCACCAUGUAUGAUUAAUGCAUUAUAUAUGUGUGAAAUCACUUUAAGUAAUCCAUGAUGUGUUUGUAAUUGUAUUGAAUGUGCCUCAAGUAUUUGAGGUAAGAUAGAUUAAGAAAAGUACUCUAGAAUAAAGUUUGAUGAUGUAAUUUUUUAUGUUUAUGUGUUUUGAGUUGUAAAAUAUAUAUUACAAAUAUAAUUGGUCUAAACUCGAUCGAUCUAA